AAUUCUCAAAAUUACCAAAAUUUUGUUAUGGUGGUUUUGGAGUGGCUGGGAGUUUUGCAGGUCUUAUCAGAAAAAGGCCAGCUGUCCUAAAAUCGAUCGUAGGGCUGGCGAAGGGAGCUCUUAGUAGUGUGAUAAAAGAGAAAUUGAUCACUAGAGAAAAAGGGCCUCUUCAGAUUGCUUUGCUUUAUAUGAAUGCUAGCUGAUAAAAGAA
rnacentral:misc_RNA from 1 species